GAAUUUUUGGCCAUCCGAGUGUGCAAAGCAAGUUCCAGGCCAGCCCAGAGCUGGUAUAAAGAGAAACCCCAUCUGGAACACCUUACAAAAGAAAGAGGGUCUACAAGGAACCUCGAUGGAGAAGACACGUACCUGCCAGGCCCUUGGAAUAAGACUUCAGUUUCCAGUAGUGAACUCGACAAGUUGGGAGAACCUGCUGCUAUCCAGACUAGCCUCCAGGUUUCCAAAGGCCUCAAGAGCCUGCAAGUAACCCAGACGCGACAGUACACCCAGAGACCCAAUGUAAUCACGCCUCCAGGUACACCCUGGGUCUAUGCAACAGCUCCAUGGGAUCUCAUGGGCAAAGUUAACAGUUCUCCCAGUGAAUCCUUCUGAAUUUCUACUGAAGUUUUCUUGUUCCCAGGUAUGUCAGC
rnacentral:lncRNA from 1 species